GAAACCAACAGGGAUUGCCCUAGUAACGGCGAGUGAAGCGGCAACAGCUCAAAUUUGAAAUCUGGCCCUCGGGUCCGAAUUGUAAUUUGUAGAGGAUGUUUUUGGUGCGGUAUCUUCCGAGUUCCUUGGAACAGGACGCCUUAGAGGGUGAGAGCCCCGUACGGUUGAAUGCCUAGCCUUUGUAAAACUCCUUCGACGAGUCGAGUAGUUUGGGAAUGCUGCUCUAAAUGGGAGGUAAAUUUCUUCUAAAGCUAAAUACUGGCCAGAGACCGAUAGCGCACAAGUAGAGUGAUCGAAAGAUGAAAAGCACUUUGAAAAGAGGGUUAAAUAGCACGUGAAAUUGUUGAAAGGGAAGGAUUUAUGACCAGACUUUUUCUAGGCGAAUCAUCCGGUGUUCUCACCGGUGCACUUCGUUUAGUUUAGGCCAGCAUCGAUUUUCGGGGCGGGAUAAAAGCUUCAGGAAUGUGGCUCCCUCGGGAGUGUUAUAGCCUGUUGUAUAAUACCGCCCUGGGGAUCGAGGUACGCGCUUCUGCAAGGAUGCUGGCGUAAUGGUUAUCAAUCACCCGUCUUGAAACACGGACCAAGGAGUCGAACAUUUGUGCAAGUGUUUGGGUGUUAAACCCUCACGCGUAAUGAAAGUGAACGGAGGUGAGAGCCCUUACGGGUGCAUCAUCGACCGAUCCUGAUGUCUUCGGAUGGAUUUGAGUAAGAGCAUAACUGUUCGGACCCGAAAGAUGGUGAACUAUGCGUGGAUAGGGUGAAGCCAGAGGAAACUCUGGUGGAGGCUCGCAGCGGUUCUGACGUGCAAAUCGAUCGUCAAAUCUGCGCAUGGGGGCGAAAGACUAAUCGAACC
rnacentral:rRNA from 1 species